rnacentral:rRNA from 1 species
UACGAAGGGGGCUAGCGUUGCUCGGAAUUACUGGGCGUAAAGCGCGCGUAGGCGGAUCGUUAAGUCGGGGGUUAAAUCCUGGAGCUCAACUCCAGAACUGCCUUCGAUACUGGCGAUCUUGAGUCCGGGAGAGGUGAGUGGAACUCCGAGUGUAGAGGUGAAAUUCGUAGAUAUUCGGAAGAACACCAGUGGCGAAGGAGGCUCACUGGCCCGGUACUGACGCUGAGGUGCGAAAGCGUGGGGAGAAAACAGG